rnacentral:tRNA from 1 species
GGACCCAUAGCUCAGUUGGCUAGAGCGUACGAUUCACAUUCGUAAGGUCGCAGGUUCGAGCCCUGCUGGGUCCACCA